GUGUUGUAAGAAAGGAGCGCAGGUUAGCAGUCGUCUUGACGGAGAUGGAACUGACCUCUGUGGCCUCUCUGGGCAGGUUUUUU